rnacentral:rRNA from 1 species
UACAGAGGGUGCGAGCGUUAAUCGGAAUUACUGGGCGUAAAGCGCACGUAGUCGGCUUUGCAAGUCGGGUGUGAAAUCCCCGGGCUCAACCUGGGAACUGCAUCCGAGACUGCAUUGCUAGAGUAUGGGAGAGGGAAGCGGAAUUUCUGGUGUAGCAGUGAAAUGUGUAGAUAUCGAGAGGAACACCAGUGGCGAAGGCGAGUCCCUGGACAACGACUGACACUGAGGCACGAAAGCUAGGGGAGCAAACAGG